ACACAACUUGUAUAUGUUUUUAAAAAAAUCCAGUGCUUAAUCUCCUUAAGAAGUAUUUAUAAAUGCAAUGGCACUAAGUGUUUGAAAGUAUCCAUAAUUUAAUUAAGAAGGCAUGAUUUCUUAAUAGUUGAGUCUGUGUUGGCAUGUACUAAAAUUGACGGGAAAAAUAGGGUUUAAUAAUUAAUUAAAACCCCAAUGGUUAACGCGUUUCGUCUGUGAAUUUGGAUUAACGCACAUUCAAUUGCUCUUCCCGAACUAAGUGCAGACACAAUAGAAAAUGUUAGACUGGGUAUUAUCAAAUCAACCCGUCUCGGUUCAAAAUGCACAAUGAACCCAUAGGGACUAUUAAAUCCAUUAGUAAUGGUGACCCCAUGGUUCAGAAAAUUUAACCUAGGCAUGAAGUUAUCAUGACACUCGGGGUAGUGGUUUAAAUGUGCACCAGAUUUGCUAUCUUAGAGAUCAAGUAUUAACCGCUGAGUAUUUGAUAUAAAAUGAUAAUAGGAUACAGCUUGCUUGAAAUAGACAAUGAUUGCUUAUUCGACAAGUCUUACAAAUUCCUUUUUUUGUCUUUCCAGGUUUAUUAAAUAUACCCGGUUACAGAUCGACACAGGAUGGAUGCCUCAAACUUUAAAGGACCAAACUUAAGAAUCUCCAGGAGCUGUGUUUCCUUCAACUAGAACACUAACUAUUUAUUUAUUUAUUUAUUGAACAUCUCACUCCUACUAUGAUCCUGAAAGUGCGACGGUGUCAAUUUCAUUGCGACAGUGUCAGAAGUCUUAAAUCCAUUCCAGCCAUUGGCCAAGAAUCUCAGUUCGUCGGAGUAGUGAGAGCACUAAGCUGGAAUCGGUUUUGGAGUCUUUGCGAUCUGCUCCGAUUCAUCCACAGAUUACGGAACCUAUCGCAAAGCAUGUUUCCGUCGUAAAAAUUCCUUAGAAAUCCAACGGGAUGGGAGAAGCUAUGGACUUCGGUUUUAUUUUGCAUUGUAUGAAUUUCAAUGCAGUAUUAUUUAAGGAUUGAUCUCAGUUUACUCAAAUGUCAUUGUCUCAAAUCAGAUUUGUUUUUGUGAGAUCAUUCCAUUUAUUUAUUAAGUCCCUUGCCGGUUACACUAUUUACACAAAAAAACUUAUACUCAAACACAUGUCAUCUUUUUCACAUCAUUCAAAGCUAACAACCUAUAUAAUUGUAAGCUUUUAAAAUAUGUAGAAUCUCUAUACAGAUUAUCAUACUUUUGAUGUAGCGAUAAGACUUUCUUAAAAACAAUGUUACCAUUACUACAUACUCAAAUAGUCAAUGUUUCUUAGAAUUUGACAUUUUAUUUAUCUCUAGAUAACUUCUGCAAAAAAGGGAAAUCACAGAUGUUUUUCUCUCUCCGCAGGGAAGGUAUUGUGUGGAAUUUUAAAUGAACUUUUAACAAUUAUGUUGUAAAAUCAUUAAUUAUUCAGAAAUAUAGAGCAACAUACACGACAUGUGCCAAUCUUGCAUUCCAAAUACCGGUAAGGGACUGUAUCAUCAUAUUUCAAAUUGAAAUAACACGGACGAGUGCAUUCUUAUUGUGAUAACAUAACAUUUGUUAUUUAUAUUUGUUUUCAUUAUUUAUUAUUAUUUAUGAUACUAUGUUUAAGUGUUAUAAAAAAUCAAGUGACAGAAAAAAGAAAGAAUAAAAAAAAUAAAAUUUU
rnacentral:misc_RNA from 1 species